rnacentral:rRNA from 1 species
UACGGAAGGUGCAAGCGUUGUUCGGAAUUAUUGGGCGUAAAGAGUACGUAGGCGGAUUUGUAUAUCGAUUGUGAAAUCCCAGGGCUUAACCUUGGAAUUGCAGUCGAAACUGCGGAUCUUGAAUACCUGAGAGGGUGGGAGAAUUCCUGGUGGAGAAGUGAAAUUCGUAGAGAUCAGGAGGAAUACCGGAGGCGAAGGCGCCUGCCUGGCAGUGUAUUGACGCUGAGGUACGAAAGCGUGGGGAGCAAACAGG